AUGCGGAAAUCGAUUUUUGGCAAAGUCACAGUAGUCGAGUUAAGUUUCGGGGAAACGAGCUGCUAUUUUGCACAGAAAGAUUUUGUUCUCUGAGAGUUUAUCACGAUGCAGAAUCUUGGGAUUCUCAUGAUGAUCCACUAAGUUUGGUAAUGCGAUUUCUGCAAGUUUAUUGUUGCCAGGUGAAAGCCGAGUUUCUCGCGAACAGAGGGUGACGUGUAUACGAGUGAAGCAGCUCGAUGACUUUUCCAGAUAAACUAUGCUCGAAAGACAACGCGGGAUUGAAAUUCCUUCCUAUACCAAGAAAAAUUAAAAUUGAUAUGCAGCAUGGAACUGACCGGAGAGGUAUAACAACGCGAAAACUAAUAGGAUUCUUUGAGGGUCGAGAAAAGAAAACACAUUUGUAAACAAGAUGAGAGCCUCUAAGACGAGAAGAGAGGUGCAUAGGCCUCGAGCUAGACCGGAGAAGAAAGACAGAAACUACAAUAUCGUAAUCAGUGUAAGAGAGAACAAAACCAGUAUAUAUACGUAUAAUAUAUAUUAACGCAGAAUCAUAAGGAAAUGCAAGAAAGUAAGACAAGAAGAGGGUUGAAAAAUAGAGAAAGAGAGUGAUGAGAGAAAUGAAAGAAAAGCGAAAUGAAAAAUGAAAAGAGAAAAAGCGGGAAAUAAAUGAAGGAGAAGAAUAGAAGGAAGAUCGGUAUAAAGGAAAACAGAAAUGGGUGAAACGCAAUGAAAAUAAAAGAGAAGGAAAGAGAAAGUGAGCGAGAAGAGAAGAGUGGUAGAAAAACAAGAAAGGGAGGAAACCGCCUAAAGCUAGGUACGGCAUUCCAGGACCCGACCUCCUCUUCAUCCCUUUGCCAGGAUCAGGGUCAACAUCAGGAUUGUUCAAUGGAUAAGCGGGUUUCUAAGCAUCCCCUCGCUGCAUCGACACGUACAAACACUGUGAUGCGGGUCGAAUUGCAUUUCUUCGAUUAUCGGAAAAGUGAUGGGGGAGAGAAACGAUAUAUAAACGAUAAUAGACAGUUUUUCCAUGAAUAGGUGGGAUUUUGUGUUCGUGUCAUGAGGAUAUUUCUAUGUAAAAUCUUUAUUGAACGAGAAUAAAUUUGUAUUAUUAAAUAAUUCAAUCUUUAUAUAUAUAUUAUAGAAUAAAAUAUUAUUUAAACAAUAAAAACUUUUAUAGCAGAAUAAA